rnacentral:rRNA from 1 species
AGAGUUUGAUCCUGGCUCAGGAUGAACGCUAGCGGGAGGCCUAAUACAUGCAAGUCGAACGGUAAAUGGUAGCAAUACUAUGAGAGUGGCGUACGGGUGCGUAACGCGUACACAACCUGCCUUGUACUGGGGGAUAGCCUCGGGAAACUGAGAUUAAUACCCCAUAAUUUUGCGAUGUGGCAUCACAUUGUAAUUAAAGC